ensembl:lncRNA
GUUGGAAGCUGCCUCUCUUUUAAAUCAUCAUCAUUGAGGAGAAACUGAUAUGUCCCUCCUCAUCCACCCACAAUUCACCUCCCAGCCUAGUGGUGAUGAGACGUGGAGGGUAGCUGUUCAAACGCUACCUCCGUCUGGGACAAAAUGCAUCUCUUGUCUGGCAAGGAGAUGGGUUUAUCUGUCAGCAGCUCCCAGAGCCUCAGCAUCAAAGUGAGAUGAGAAGCAGAUGAAAACUGGGAUGAGCUGCAGUUGUGCUGUUUGGAGCAAGGAGCAGCAGACGUGGUAAAGCGUGGACUGAGUAUUGUUUCAGUCUAGCAUCCCAGCCACCUCCAGUGAAGACAGCAGGAGAGGGAGCCAUGCUACCACCAGAAGGCAUUGGAGCCACCGGAUUGGCCCAAGGGAUCCGUAAGCCUCUCUGGACUCAUGACUGCAAGAACAUGAUGAAGAGAUCCAAAUCUCAGUUUACCCAUGCCUCCUGAGAAGACAAACUGAAGCUCGCCUUGCCACUUUGUAUGCACCAGACCUCCACACCCGAGGCUUAUCACAAGCAAUUAUCUUACCCAAAUAAAAAAUGAAAAUGGAAAAGUUAAAUAAAUAACAGGACAUCUUGA